rnacentral:rRNA from 1 species
UACGAAGGUGGCAAGCGUUGUUCGGAUUUACUGGGCGUACAGGGAGCGUAGGCGGUUGGGUAAGCCCUCCGUGAAAUCUCCGGGCCUAACCCGGAAAGUGCGGAGGGGACUGCUCGGCUAGAGGAUGGGAGAGGAGCGCGGAAUUCCCGUUGUAGCGGUGAAAUGCGUAGAGAUCGGGAGGAAGGCCGGUGGCGACGGCGGCGCGCUGGAACAUUUCUGACGCUGAGGCUCUAGAGCGUGGUGAGCAAGCAGGAUUAGAUACCCUGGUAGUCCACGCCUUAAACGUUGGAUACUAAGUGUCGGCGGGUUACCGCCGGUGCCGCAGCUAACGCAUUAAGUAUCCCGCCUGGGAAGUACGGCCGCAAGGUUGAAACUUAAAGGAAUUGACGG